CUUUCACAGAUUGUCAUACUGAAGGGCAAAAUAUCCUCUUCACUGAUGGAGAAUAUAUUAAUCAAAUAGCAGCAUCUAGAGAUGAUGGCUUUGUAGUACGAAUAUUUGCAACAAGUACUGAACCAGUACUGCAACAAGAGCUGCAGCUUAAACUUGCAAGAAAAUGCUUACAUGCCUGUGGCAUCUCAUUGUUUGAUCUGGAGAAAGACUUGCACAUUAUCAGUACAGGGUUUGAUGAGGAAUCGGCUGUGCUUGCUGCUGGAAGAGAGUUUGCACUAAUGAAAACUGCUAGUGGAAAG
rnacentral:lncRNA from 1 species